UGGGGAAUUUUGGACAAUGGGCGAAAGCCUGAUCCAGCAAUGCCGCGUGUGUGGAGAAGGCCUUCGGGUUGUAAAGCACUUUUGUCCGGAAAGAAAUCCUUGGCUCUAAUACAGUCGGGGGAUGACGGUACCGGAAGAAUAAGCACCGGCUAACUACGUGCCAGCAGCCGCGGUAAUACGUAGGGUGCAAGCGUUAAUCGGAAUUACUGGGCGUAAAGCGUGCGCAGGCGGUUUGCUAAGACCGAUGUGAAAUCCCCGGGCUCAACCUGGGAACUGCAUUGGUGACUGGCAGGCUAGAGUAUGGCAGAGGGGGGUAGAAUUCCACGUGUAGCAGUGAAAUGCGUAGAGAUGUGGAGGAAUACCGAUGGCGAAGGCAGCCCCCUGGGCCAAUACUGACGCUCAUGCACGAAAGCGUGGGGAGCAAACAGGAUUAGAUACCCUGGUAGUCCACGCCCUAAACGAUGUCAACUAGUUGUUGGGGAUUCAUUUCCUAGUAACGUAGCUAACGCGUGAAGUUGACCGCCUGGGGAGUACGGUCGCAAGAUUAAAACUCAAAUGAAUUGACGGGGUCAUAGCUGUUUCCU
rnacentral:rRNA from 1 species